CCUACGGGAGGCAGCAGUGAGGAAUAUUGGGCAAUGCCCGAAAGGGUGACCCAGCAACGCCGCGUGGAGGAUGAAGUCCUUCUGGACGUAAACUCCUUUUAGAGGGGACGAAAAGCCCGAUUUGUCGGGAAUUGACGGUACCCUCAGAAAAAGCACCGGCUAACUACGUGCCAGCAGCCGCGGUAAUACGUAGGGUGCAAGCGUUGUCCGGAUUCACUGGGUGUAAAGGGUGCGCAGGCGGGCUCUUAAGUCAAAGGUAAAAUCUCUCGGCUUAACCGGGAAAUUGCCUUGGAUACUGACAGCCUUGAGGACGGGAGAGGGAGAUGGAAUUCCAGGUGUAGCGGUGAAAUGCGUAGAUAUCGGGAGGAACACCGGAGGCGAAGGCGGUCUCCUGGCCCGUUACUGACGCGCAGGCACGAAAGCGGGGGGAGCAAACGGGAUUAGAUCCCCGGGUAGU
rnacentral:rRNA from 1 species